GACGAACGCUGGCGGCGUGCUUAACACAUGCAAGUCGAACGGAAAGGCCCUGCUUUUGUGGGGUGCUCGAGUGGCGAACGGGUGAGUAACACGUGAGUAACCUGCCCUUGACUUUGGGAUAACUUCAGGAAACUGGGGCUAAUACCGGAUAGGAGCUCCUGCUGCAUGGUGGGGGUUGGAAAGUUUCGGCGGUUGGGGAUGGACUCGCGGCUUAUCAGCUUGUUGGUGGGGUAGUGGCUUACCAAGGCUUUGACGGGUAGCCGGCCUGAGAGGGUGACCGGCCACAUUGGGACUGAGAUACGGCCCAGACUCCGACGGGAGGCAGCAGUGGGGAAUAUUGCACAAUGGGCGGAAGCCUGAUGCAGCAACGCCGCGUGCGGGAUGACGGCCUUCGGGUUGUAAACCGCUUUCGCCUGUGACGAAGCGUGAGUGACGGUAAUGGGGAAAGAAGCACCGGCUAACUACGGGC
rnacentral:rRNA from 1 species